GAAAGGCGGGCUAAACCCGCGUACAUGCCACCGGGGCAUCCCGGAGGCAGGAAAGGCUUCGGCCGGACAGGGAUGGGCAUGCGGCGCAUUAGGCAGUAGGCGGGGUAACGGCCCACCUAACCGACGAUGCGUAGGGGUUCUGAGAGGAAGGUCCCCCACACUGGUACUGAGACACGGACCAGACUCCUACGGGAGGCAGCAGUGAGGAAUAUUGGUCAAUGGUCGGGAGACUGAACCAGCCAAGCCGCGUGAGGGAUGAAGGUACAGAGUAUCGUAAACCUCUUUUGUCAGGGAACAAAGGCGGGGACGUGUCCCCGGAUGAGUGUACCUGAAGAAAAAGCAUCGGCUAACUCCGUGCCAGCAGCCGCGGUAAUACGGAGGAUGCGAGCGUUAUCCGGAUUUAUUGGGUUUAAAGGGUGCGCAGGCGGUCUGUCAAGUCAGCGGUCAAAGCCCGGGGCUCAACCCCGGCCCGCCGUUGAAACUGGCAGUCUCGAGUUGGAGAGAAGUAUGCGGAAUGCGCGGUGUAGCGGUGAAAUGCAUAGAUAUCGCGCAGAACUCCGAUUGCGAAGGCAGCAUGCCGGCUCCACACUGACGCUGAGGCACGAAAGCGUGGGUAUCGAACAGGAUUAGAUACCCUGGUAGUCC
rnacentral:rRNA from 1 species